CUAAACUCUGCAGGGACACUGGCCCUCCAGGACCGAGUUUCAGAGCCUCAAGUCUGUUUGAACUCUCAAUCUGGCGGCACCCAUUUACUGCAGAGGAUCCAUUGAAGGGCAAGUGAUAUAAUGUAAAAUUUCUACAAAUCUGUUGUGUUGAAGAGACAAGCUCAUCUACAAUCUGGACAGCUUGCAAGAGAUGAGCACAGAUGAGCUUUUAGACAAUGCAUACACAGGAAACGGACUGGGCGCGUAUGCACGUGAUGACAUCAUGACACCCGCACGUCACACAACAAAACUUUACAAACAAAACUGACGACUUGAAUCUAUUUUAUGGAGCUCAAAAUAAUUUAGACCGAGUUGCUUUUUGGACAUUCAUCUCCAGUGGGUCUUUACUUUGGACGUUUUUUGUUGGUUCUCGGACACUCUGGUACUGUGUUUUACUGAUUCAGUGUUUUGCUUUGAUGCCUUACAUACUGAUGUAUUUUUUUUCUGUAUUGAACCGCAUUUAAAAUGGAGCUGAGCUAGGUAAUAAAUGUCCUAUUAUUAAUGUUUCUGAAGAACAGAUCUAAAGAUGAAUGGAUUUAAUGUUAAAGCAUGCAGAAAUCAGAUUCAGAGCCCUUGUAAAGCUUGACUGUAGGCUAUGAUGAUUAUUAUUAUUGUUUAUUUUAUUUUUGUAAAAUAUAAUUU